rnacentral:rRNA from 1 species
GAUGAACGCUGACAGAAUGCUUAACACAUGCAAGUCUUUGGCGAAGCUGUGCUUGCACAGCCUAGCCAAGGCGGACGGGUGAGUAACGCGUAAGGGACUUGCCCUGCAGUCAGGGAUAACAGACGGAAACGACUGAUAAAACCUGAUAAAGUCAGGCGGACUCAUGUCCAGCCUGGUGAAAAGGAAUGCUGCAGGAGAGCCUUGCGUCCUAUUAGCUUGUUGGUGGGGUAACGGCCCACCAAGGCGAUGAUAGGUAGCCGGCCUGAGAGGGUGGACGGCCACAAGGGGACUGAGAUACGGCCCUUACUCCUACGGGAGGCAGCAGUGGGGAAUAUUGGACAAUGGGGGCAACCCUGAUCCAGCAAUUCUGUGUGCACGAUGAAGGUCUUCGGAUUGUAAAGUGCUUUCAGCAGGGAAGAAAAA